AUACUACUCCCUCCGUUCGGAAAUACUUGUCGGAGGAAUGGAUGUAUCUAGACAUAUUUUAAUUCUAGAUACAUCCAUUGAUAUGCAUUUCUGCGACAAAUAUUUCCGGACGGAGGAAGUAUUUA
rfam:Triticum aestivum genome assembly, contig: Triticum_aestivum_CS42_TGACv1_scaffold_226018_3B